UACGAAGGGGGCUAGCGUUGUUCGGAAUUACUGGGCGUAAAGGGCUUGUAGGUGGCCAACUAAGUCAGACGUGAAAUCCCACGGCUUAACCGAGGAACUGCGUCUGAUACUGGAUGGCUUGAGUGUGGGAGAGGGAUGCGGAAUUCCAGGUGUAGCGGUGAAAUGCGUUGAUAUCGAUAGGAACUCCGGUGGCGAAGGCGGCAUACUGGACCACCUCUGACGCUGAGGCGCGAAAGCCAGGGGAGCAAACGGG
rnacentral:rRNA from 1 species